UUGACUCUCAAAUGAGAAUCGUUAUGAUUAUCACAACUGGUCGCGAGAUCAGCCGAUAACUGAAAGACCAUUGGUUCGGACUCUCAGAUUAUCUCCUCAUCAGGCUAAUCACGGUUAUUUGACCCGGCUUUUGCCGGGUCUUUUUUUG
rfam:Pseudomonas sp. 1 R 17 genome assembly PSEFL294_LIB5394, contig: PSEFL294_LIB5394_000044